rnacentral:rRNA from 1 species
CAUCAUAAUUUUUAUGGAGAGUUUGAUCCUGGCUCAGGAUGAACGCUGGCGGCGUGCCUAAUACAUGCAAGUCGAGCGAACGGACGAGAAGCUUGCUUCUCUGAUGUUAGCGGCGGACGGGUGAGUAACACGUGGAUAACCUACCUAUAAGACUGGGAUAACUUCGGGAAACCGGAGCUAAUACCGGAUAAUAUUUUGAACCGCAUGGUUCAAAAGUGAAAGACGGUCUUGCUGUCACUUAUAGAUGGAUCCGCGCUGCAUUAGCUAGUUGGUAAGGUAACGGCUUACCAAGGCAACGAUGCAUAGCCGACCUGAGAGGGUGAUCGGCCACACUGGAACUGAGACACGGUCCAGACUCCUACGGGAGGCAGCAGUAGGGAAUCUUCCGCAAUGGGCGAAAGCCUGACGGAGCAACGCCGCGUGAGUGAUGAAGGUCUUCGGAUCGUAAAACUCUGUUAUUAGGGAAGAACAUAUGUGUAAGUAACUGUGCACAUCUUGACGGUACCUAAUCAGAAAGCCACGGCUAACUACGUGCCAGCAGCCGCGGUAAUACGUAGGUGGCAAGCGUUAUCCGGAAUUAUUGGGCGUAAAGCGCGCGUAGGCGGUUUUUUAAGUCUGAUGUGAAAGCCCACGGCUCAACCGUGGAGGGUCAUUGGAAACUGGAAAACUUGAGUGCAGAAGAGGAAAGUGGAAUUCCAUGUGUAGCGGUGAAAUGCGCAGAGAUAUGGAGGAACACCAGUGGCGAAGGCGACUUUCUGGUCUGUAACUGACGCUGAUGUGCGAAAGCGUGGGGAUCAAACAGGAUUAGAUACCCUGGUAGUCCACGCCGUAAACGAUGAGUGCUAAGUGUUAGGGGGUUUCCGCCCCUUAGUGCUGCAGCUAACGCAUUAAGCACUCCGCCUGGGGAGUACGACCGCAAGGUUGAAACUCAAAGGAAUUGACGGGGACCCGCACAAGCGGUGGAGCAUGUGGUUUAAUUCGAAGCAACGCGAAGAACCUUACCAAAUCUUGACAUCCUUUGACAACUCUAGAGAUAGAGCUUUCCCCUUCGGGGACAAAGUGACAGGUGGUGCAUGGUUGUCGUCAGCUCGUGUCGUGAGAUGUUGGGUUAAGUCCCGCAACGAGCGCAACCCUUAAGCUUAGUUGCCAUCAUUAAGUUGGGCACUCUAAGUUGACUGCCGGUGACAAACCGGAGGAAGGUGGGGAUGACGUCAAAUCAUCAUGCCCCUUAUGAUUUGGGCUACACACGUGCUACAAUGGACAAUACAAAGGGCAGCGAAACCGUGAGGUCAAGCAAAUCCCAUAAAGUUGUUCUCAGUUCGGAUUGUAGUCUGCAACUCGACUACAUGAAGCUGGAAUCGCUAGUAAUCGUAGAUCAGCAUGCUACGGUGAAUACGUUCCCGGGUCUUGUACACACCGCCCGUCACACCACGAGAGUUUGUAACACCCGAAGCCGGUGGAGUAACCUUUUAGGAGCUAGCCGUCGAAGGUGGGACAAAUGAUUGGGGUGAAGUCGUAACAAGGUAGCCGUAUCGGAAGGUGCGGCUGGAUCACCUCCUUUCUA